GGGGGUGGUGAAUGUGAUGGUAUGUUAGCAUGAAUUCCAUGUACUCAGUUGUUGAGUCUUUUAAAUUACCUUGAUUGUCAAUGAUAGACGGUAGCUGAAAAUUAAUGAUGGAUUGUUGUGUGUUGGGCCUGUGGAUGUAGACUUGUAGUGUUUGCAGUGGAUUUGCUCAUGUAGAUUAUGUUUGAUGUGAGAGCUGAUAAGGGAGAAGUGGUUUGUUAUUCAUGGCGUAGUAUUUUGUGUGAGGAUAAGUUGUUAUAGCUAUGUCUUAUAGAAGGUGAGUUUAAGUUUUUUUUUCUUUAAUUCUUCAACCGUUUAGUUCAAAGGUUCAUUUAUUCAAGGGCGUUACCAUUUUGAGUAAUUGGUUUGUGAUAAGUUUGUUGUUUUGUCUAUGUGGAGUUGUUACUUAUUUCGAAGACCAUAUAUAAUGAUGUGUAGUGUGUAUUUGUAUGAGAGCUGGAUAAUAUUAGUUAUCUUUUGUAUUUGCAUUAUUUUUAUAAUGAGAUUUUUCUUAGUAUAAUAGAUGUUCGUUUGAAAAUAUAUUUGUUUAUUUUUGCAGACGGUUGGUCCGCGUCAGUUAUACCGAGAACUCUUCAUGUAGUUUAGUUUUUAUAUAUGUAGGUUCUGUUUUAGUUUUUGUGAGAUAGAGUGAGGAUAUUAGAAAUACGAAAUACGAAAUGUAUAUGGUUGUGUAUUUUAAAUAUAUAAAUAUAGGUUAUACCUAUGGGGCUUGCACGUGGAUAACGUAAACGGAAUUAUAUUAUUACGUGAAGGAUAAUCGGUUUGAGUAACCAUUUUUAAAGCUGAAAAAAAAAAAUUAUAUUUUAAAUAUAUAGAUAU
rnacentral:lncRNA from 1 species